AGUGAACGCUGGCGGUAGGCCUAACACAUGCAAGUCGAACGGCAGCACAGUAAGAGCUUGCUCUUACGGGUGGCGAGUGGCGGACGGGUGAUGAAUACAUCGGAAUCUACUUUUUCGUGGGGGAUAACGUAGGGAAACUUACGCUAAUACCGCAUACGACCUACGGGUGAAAGCAGGGGAUCUUCGGACCUUGCGCGAUUGAAUGAGCCGAUGUCGGAUUAGCUAGUUGGCGGGGUAAAGGCCCACCAAGGCGACGAUCCGUAGCUGGUCUGAGAGGAUGAUCAGGCACACUGGAACUGAGACACGGUCCAGACUCCUACGGGAGGCAGCAGUGGGGAAUAUUGGACAAUGGGCGCAAGCCUGAUCCAGCCAUACCGCGUGGGUGAAGAAGGCCUUCGGGUUGUAAAGCCCUUUUGUUGGGAAAGAAAAGCAGCAGGUUAAUACCCCGCUGUUCUGACGGUACCCAAAGAAUAAGCACCGGCUAACUUCGUG
rnacentral:rRNA from 1 species